GGUGAGUAAUAUAUCGGAACGUGCCUUGUAAUGGGGGAUAACUAGUCGAAAGAUUAGCUAAUACCGCAUACGCCCUGAGGGGGAAAGUAGGGGAUCUUCGGACCUUACGUUAUAAGAGCGGCCGAUAUCUGAUUAGCUAGUUGGUGGGGUAAUGGCCUACCAAGGCUUCGAUCAGUAGCUGGUCUGAGAGGACGACCAGCCACACUGGAACUGAGACACGGUCCAGACUCCUACGGGAGGCAGCAGUGGGGAAUUUUGGACAAUGGGCGCAAGCCUGAUCCAGCCAUUCCGCGUGAGUGAAGAAGGCCUUCGGGUUGUAAAGCUCUUUCGCAAGGGAAGAAAACUUACAUUCUAAUAAAGUGUGAGGCUGACGGUACCUUGAUAAGAAGCACCGGCUAACUACGUGCCAGCAGCCGCGGUAAUACGUAGGGUGCGAGCGUUAAUCGGAAUUACUGGGCGUAAAGCGUGCGCAGGCGGUUUUGUAAGUCAGAUGUGAAAUCCCCGAGCUCAACUUGGGAACUGCGUUUGAAACUACAAGACUAGAAUAUGUCAGAGGGGGGUAGAAUUCCACGUGUAGCAGUGAAAUGCGUAGAGAUGUGGAGGAAUACCAAUGGCGAAGGCAGCCCCCUGGGAUAAUAUUGACGCUCAUGCACGAAAGCGUGGGGAGCAAACAGGAUUAGAUACCCUGGUAGUCCACGCCCUAAACGAUGUCUACUAGUUGUUGGUGGAGUAAAAUCCAUGAGUAACGCAGCUAACGCGUGAAGUAGACCGCCUGGGGAGUACGGUCGCAAGAUUAAACUCAAAGGAAUUGACGGGGGCCCGCACAAGCGGUGGAUUAUGUGGAUUAAUUCGAUGCAACGCGAAAACCUUACCUGGCCUUGACAUGCCACUAACGAAGCAGAGAUGCAUUAGGUGCCCGUAAGGGAAAGUGGACACAGGUGCUGCAUGGCUGUCGUCAGCUCGUGUCGUGAGAUGUUGGGUUAAGUCCCGCAACGAGCGCAACCCUUGCCAUUAAUUGCCAUCAUUUAGUUGGGCACUUUAAUGGGAC
rnacentral:rRNA from 1 species